AUGGUUUCAGUUCGUCAAAAUCGAAUCAAUCUUUUAAGACGCAAUUGCGUGAGUUCGCUUGGUAUUGAAGUUACAAAUUCAAAGCAUACCGUGAUUCAUUUCAAAGUUAAGAUUCAUUCAAGUUCAUUCACAUAUCCAUCAUUCCAAAUACAUAUCAUUAUCCAAAGUAAACCAUUCAAGUUCAUCUACAAAAGUUACAAGCAUGUUCACUAA